GAUGAACGCUGGCGGCGUGCUUAACACAUGCAAGUCGAACGGGAUCCAAGGGGUGCUUGCACUUUUUGGUGAGAGUGGCGAACGGGUGAGUAACACGUGAGUAACCUGUCCUUUUCUUUGGGAUAAGCAUUCGAAAGGGUGUUUAAUACCUUAUGUUCUGUCUGCCUCGCAUGGGGUGGGUGGGAAAGGCUUUGGCCGGAUUUGGGUGGGCUCGCGGUCUAUCAGCUUGUUGGUGGGGUGAUGGCUUACCAAGGCUUUGACGGGUAGCCGGCCUGAGAGGGUGGGCGGUCACAUUGGGACUGAGAUACGGCCCAGACUCCUACGGGAGGCAGCAGUGGGGGAUAGUGCACAAUGGGCGAAAGCCUGAUGCAGCGACGCCGCGUGGGGGAUGAAGGCCUGCGGGUUGUAAACUUCUGUUGCUCUGAACAAGGCAUGCCAGUGGGUGUGUUGAGUGUAGGGGUUGAUUAGCGCCGGCUAACUACGUG
rnacentral:rRNA from 1 species